AUUGAACGCUGGCAGCAGGCCUAACACAUGCAAGUCGAGCGGUAGAGAGGUGCUUGCACCUCUUGAGAGCGGCGGACGGGUGAGUAAUGCCUAGGAAUCUGCCUGGUAGUGGGGGAUAACGCUCGGAAACGGACGCUAAUACCGCAUACGUCCUACGGGAGAAAGCAGGGGACCUUCGGGCCUUGCGCUAUCAGAUGAGC
rnacentral:rRNA from 1 species